rnacentral:lncRNA from 1 species
UGUGAAUUUAUAGAGAUAUGGAAAUAUGUGAGGUGUGGAGAAUUAUUUUGAUUGGUCUAUCAUGCGCAGGCUGAGGAUUAUUUGAGAGGACAUCCUUUUAACAAGACAGGUCUGUAUCUUUUCUUCUUUAAAUGUAAUGCAUUGUUUCCUCCAUAAGUGUGGGUUAUUGCAUUGUUGUUGUGGGAGGGUUGUUUCUGUUGUUGUUGUGCUUUAUCCAAUAGUUUCAAUGGAGAGAGGAGAUCAUCUACCUUCAUAGACAGAACGAUUGGACUAUAUACAUAAGAGAGAAUGGAAAAGAGCCUUGUUGGCUAGUUUGCUGCUUCACAAUUAUUUUAAAAGUUGCUGUAUGGAGAAGUGGAUUACAUACUGGUGAAUCUUCAGUGAUGUCAGGUCAGCAAUGUGUCCUCUUUUCUUGAGUUUCAAAGUCUGGAAACAGACGUUUUUGUAGGAGAAUACACUUACACAUAGAGAAUCCAUAACCAAAUAAAUGGCUUCCUGUGUCAGUGUCGCUCCAUAAUUAUUGGUUGGUGCUUUGUUGUGAGAGGAUUUUUAUUAUGAUUUGUUUUGCCCAGUAGUUUCAAAGAAUAGAGACGACCAUCUCUACAGGUAUAAGAAUUUGUAAGAGGACCAAGCCAUGAGGUUCUUGUCAUUUGUGAAAUUGGACAUGAGCUGCUUGUAGAAGGUAAAUGCAGGGAUGGAGCAUGAAAACCUAUCCUAUUUCUAAGCCUUAACGUCCUAGCAGGUGUUAAUAAUAACAAUUCUUAAUAACUGCUUAUUAACAACAUGCAUUAAAACAAGCACAAUGAAUAAAUAUGAUUAUUUUAUUGCUAUUUUAGUGGAAUGUUUCCCAGAGGAGAGAAGACAAUUUAACUGCACAGAGACUGGAACUGGUAAGGGUCUCUCUGUUACUAUAUUAGAAACCAAAUUAUUAGUCUUCAUUAUCCUUUUUUGCUUAUUGGCCCUUGAUACACUCAGCCAUCGAAUGGUGUUCAACCUUGGACAAAAUUGAUUCUGCAAAUAAUGAAAUGUUAGUAAAAAUAGAAGAAUUAAAAAAAAAAAACUUGGUCCAUUCUUCAAAUUGUUGCAUUUCAUUAUAUGAUUAAAUUAAUGGUGUCUAGAACCUAAGACCAUAUAUCUAAAUAGUAUGUAGCCUUCCAAAAGAAAAAUGUUGACAUUUUAUCGGAAUGUUUUAGGUGUAUUAAAAAAGUGUGGUUAUCAUCAAAUGUUUAUCAGAAUUAGUUUAUGUAGACAGUAAAUGUCGGUGUAUAUAUUUUACUACCAGGCUCUGGAUCCUUAUGCUUGAAUAUCUGAGACAACAGCAUCAAACACAGCCAAAAUCCUGUACACAUAGGGAGCUGAGUCAAGAAAUUAAUGGGUUAAAGGAGAAAAGACUAAACUUCACUGCUGAAAUUUGAGACAACUGCAUCAAACACAGACAGAAUUAUAUAAACAUAGGGAGCUGAGUCAAGAGAUUCAUCGGUUGAAGGAGAAGAGACUAAACUUCACUGCUGAAAUUUGAGACAACUGCAUCAAACACAGCCAUAAUUAUAUACACAGAGGGAGCUCAGUCAAGAGAUUUGUGGAUUGAAAGAGAAGAGGUUUAACUGGACUGCUCAUUGAAGAAAACUAGAUUAUGGCUCAAGAUUAAGCAAGAAGGCUUUUGGUCGCACCUCUCAUCAAAGUCAUCUUUUGGGAUUUACAUUCAACAUCUAGAUUUACAUUAUACUUCUUUAGAAAACCAUUGUGAAAAUGUAUUUUUGCUCAAUGAAAAAAAUAAACU